GGGUCAGUAGGUUGGUCGUGCCACCGGUACGUACUGGUCUCACUGAUUCCUCCUUCCUGAAGAACCGUAAUGACAUUAAUUUGGUGUUGCGGGGAAACAGGACUGUUACUUCGAAAAAAUUAGAGUGUUUAAAGCAAGCUAACGCUUGAAUACAUUAGCAUGGAAUAAUGAAAUAGGACGAUCGAUCCUAUUUUGUUGGUUUCUAGGAUUGACGUA
rnacentral:rRNA from 1 species